UUUGUACGGGGUUGAACCACAGU
rnacentral:miRNA from 1 species